AAUUAAGCUCCGCCCCUUUAUUUCACCGCUUCGGUUGGAGACGACACCACGACAACUCAGCUCAAUUUUCUCUCCUUAUGCAGUUGACAGGGAACACUUCCAUAAUGCUGCAAGCAGCACAGGAUACAUUGCUUGGCGUCUGAAAGCAAUCCAACAAAAUAUUUGUCGAGGAUCUGCACCAUCACCAAAUAGCCCUAUGGACACUUCUCCCAAAUGUCCAACGAGCUGUUAAUGUAGAAAGGGCAGCUGGAUGGGGAUGCUUGCCAAGAGGCCAUGUCUUUGCUCAACCAUACCACAGACAAUUCCCUGAUUUUUCAGAACAUGAGAGAAACCGUUCAGCACCGUCAGAAGCGUGUUAAUGACCAAAGCAGAGGUGUUGAUAUCCUCUCCACCUUCCCAAUAUUCCUGGAUAGCAAAGGAUUGGUGGAUGAAGACUUCACCCUCCUAUUUGAUCAUGAAACAUCAUCCAGGCUCCUUCUGAAAUGGGAUGUGUUCUUCAGUCCAAAUGUCAUAAAAGAGGCUAAGAGGUUUUAAGAGUUGCGUCGCUUGUUGCAGUCAGCAGAGAGUCCCACAGGAAGUGAUCUUGAUGAGACAACAAACAGAACUUCAGUAUCACACCCCCAUUUUCAAACAUUGAACUCUCACAGGAAGCAAAUGAACCUGAUCCCUGUUUCAAA